UGCUCUACGCCUUUUUGUACAUAGCAUUGUAUACCUCUGAGAUGUUGAAAGAAGCAUAAAAGGAGCAUAAAUACUAGGACAAAUACAGUCGUCGAUUCUGAGAAAUAUUUUCUUACGUGACGUGAUGAUACAAUGGAACUAUUUUCGAACAAAGAUUGACACAGCUCUGCAUCGUUUACUUCAAAGACACCAGGCAGAGGUUCACAAAGUUGGGGCGACCAGGAUUUUAGCGUAGAAAGUUACGACGGAAAUUUGCUUCGGUAAUAGACUGUUUAUACCGCGUGACUUGGAAAAUUUUAUACGUCGACGUCGACGUUCUUCACAGGUACGAUGCAAAUAGUUAUAAUAAUGGUAUUGAGGAAUCAUGGAUGAUAAAUGGUGGUACUUAGAAAAUUCAUAAAGUUUUGCACGUUGAUCUCGUAAAAAAGUACAAACUUCUAACUGUAGCCAAGUCUGUCGGAGUGAUAAACAUGCCAAAGCGACGAACUUUAUGUAGUGUUUCUUAUAGAAUUUGAUGUUGAAUUUGAUCGAACCAUGUAAUAGAAUUGAAAUAUUGAAUCUCAGUUUUCUAUCGACAAAUUUGUCUCAUUCAGUUAGUUAAAAAAUAUAUUCGAAAUUAACGUGUACACUCAGCGCCGAGUUAUUUCCGGCCAAUGUUAUAUCAAUUUGUAAUAAACGUUUCUUUUUACAUUUAUCAAGCAAGCUAUAAUAUACUAUUAACGUGCAAAUACUAUUUUUUCCAGGAACUAGCAUCGAAAUUUUGCACUCCGAGAACAUUUCAUAAAGAACUGUACAUUAAUUUCCUGUUCAAAUAUAUACACGUUUUACAUAUCAAUUGCGUUUUAGGAUUUUCACCAUAGUGUGAAUCUUCUCUGCAAACGUUUCAUCCUGACUUCGUGAUUAAUUUCUUUUUUUAGAUUUAUUUUGAAUUUAUCAGCUCUCAAAGAGACACGAGUAAAUAUCCAGUAAGAUCUAAUACAAUCUAAAAUUGAAUUUAAUCAUCGUAAAACGAUCGUGCGCGUAAUAAGAAACUUGAUUAAGAAUAAUUACGUCGAGUACACGGUUGGAGCUCAGUCCAUUAUUUUUCUUCUAUUAAACAUUCGAUAUAGCCACGUCCUUUGUUAAAUGAUGAUUAAUUAAAACGCAACACGGCAAAUGUUGGUAAUUAGCUAAUGUAGAGAGUCACAGCAUGUAACGAAUGGGAAAAAAGAAGAAUCUAAGGCAAAUGUUGCAAUCGAUGUAGAUGGAUAAACACAGUAGCGAUCGUAUUUAAUCGAGAAACAACCGGAAUACGGACGACAGGAACGAUUUUCCUUGUUCGUCGUCGCGGGAGGAUCUUAAUGAGGGAGGGCGUCUUAAUGGAAAAAGACACCGUUCAGAGGAGACGAUUUAGAAACUCGUAAAAAGGCGUGAAGCACUUGACAUCACGAAGCUGCAAAAAGAUCAUUUUCAGAGUCUUGUUGCGCAAUAAUUUAUCAAUUAAUAUAACUGAUAUUAAGCAAUCAACAACUUACACAUAAUAAGUGGUAGAUAUCUUCUUUACAAUUUUUGUUAUUUUACUUGCAACGCUUGUUACUUAUAAAAUGCCUAAUAACUUCUAAUUUCUAAUUUCUAAUAUUCUAUCGAAUAAUUUUCCAUAUUUUCGAUACUGGACAUAGUUUUAUGGUUGUUAGUAGUAAAUACUCUCGUGUAUAUGAGAAAGAACAGUCUGUGAUUCAUAAAUUUGCAACGAUGUAAAAAAUUUCAUUUUGCAAUUCUUCUACCUUUUAUCGUAACGAAUCGAAAAACAAUCGAUCAGCUAUCGAUAUUACAAACGCAUUAUCCGCUUACAAGCCUAUUUUAAACGACAUUUAAGGACAAAUAAGAAGCAUAAAGAAGCGAAAUAGAUUAUCGACGAUACGUUUAUACAAGGCAGUACGUGAAUGAAUACAUCAAGAUCGAUUAGUGACGCACGAGACUAAUAACUAUGUGUUUUUACAAAUGUGGGACACAAUUUCUGUGUCGUGGCUCGCCUUCCAUUUACGACGAUAUAAUCUUUAAUCGGAAUUUAUUGUUGAGAAUUCAUAGUUCACGGCCGAAUCGUUCUUGCCUUUGGUAGGUCGUGAUUCUCUAUUAAAGUUGAUGUGAAACGAUCAACCGAUGACAAUCGAAAUAAUAUCGCUCGUAAACUUUAAUAGUUUCAUUGAAUACUUUUUAUUUUUCAUUGAUCUUCGUUGUUUUUAAAUUUACGUUCUAUCACAGAAAAAACAGAAAACGA